GAUGAACGCUGGCGGCGUGCCUAAUACAUGCAAGUCGAGCGAACGGACGAGAAGCUUGCUUCUCUGAUGUUAGCGGCGGACGGGUGAGUAACACGUGGAUAACCUACCUAUAAGACUGGGAUAACUUCGGGAAACCGGAGCUAAUACCGGAUAAUAUUUUGAACCGCAUGGUUCAAAAGUGAAAGACGGUCUUGCUGUCACUUAUAGAUGGAUCCGCGCUGCAUUAGCUAGUUGGUAAGGUAACGGCUUACCAAGGCAACGAUGCAUAGCCGACCUGAGAGGGUGAUAGGCCACACUGGAACUGAGACACGGUCCAGACUCCUACGGGAGGCAGCAGUAGGGAAUAUUCCGCAAUGGGCGAAAGCCUGACGGAGCAACGCCGCGUGAGUGAUGAAGGUCUUCGGAUCGUAAAACUCUGUUAUUAGGGAAGAACAUAUGUGUAAGUAACUGUGCACAUCUUGACGGUACCUAAUCAGAAAGCCACGGCUAACUACGUG
rnacentral:rRNA from 1 species